ensembl:lncRNA
UCCUCCUCUCUGCCUCCUCUCUGUCUCCUCUCUGCCUCCUCUCUGUCUCCUCUCUGCCUCCUCUCUGCCUCCUCUCUGUCUCCUCUCUGCCUCCUCUCUGCCUCCUCUCUGCCUCCUCUCUGUCUCCUCUCUGCCUCCUCUCUGCCUCCUCUCUGUCUCCUCUCUGCCUCCUCUCUGUCUCCUCUCUGUCUCCUCUCUGCCUCCUCUCUGUCUCCUCUCUGUCUCCUCUCUGCCUCCUCUCUGCCUCCUCUCUGCCUCCUCCUCUCUGUCUCCUCUCUGCCUCCUCUCUGUCUCCUCUCUGCCUCCUCUCUGUCUCCUCUCUGCCUCCUCUCUGUCUCCUCUCUGCCUCCUCUCUGUCUCCUCUCUGAGUUCCCCUCCACAGCUGCGCAGCGACACUUUUGAAACUUUUGUAAAAAAUGUAAUUUGUAAAACCUUCGGUCUUGAACUGGAAAGUCUUGAAACUCACCAAACGUUGGCUUGGACACAUACUGUUCUAGUGUGGACUGCCAUAUGCACACGCGAAAGACAAGUAGCAAAACAGCUACUGAAGCACAGACUGCAAAGGAUAUCGUAAAUGAUGUGUACAGGUUACUUCAUUUAUUUUCUGAAAUCUCUUCCCUUUCCCUAUAUGUUUUGCUGAGAACAGUUCAUUUCGGAGCGCACAGAUCCUGAACAUCAAAGUACCAAGCCUAUGAACUCUUCAACAUGCUUGAAAUGACACAUUGGUCUAUGAGAGUACUUGGCCAACCCCCCUACAGAACUACGGAGGGCAACUACCAGACAAAAGACAGAGUCAAAAGCAUACAGACAGAGACUUUGUCGGCCCCUCGCAUUUCUAACAGAAUUCUGCUCAUGUCUACAGUUCAUUUCAAUAGGCCGAGAUGCUUCUACUCAAGGUGGGAUGUGGGAAAUGUAUUUUAUCUAGAGGGAGGAUUCUUCUUCUUACGGUUAAAGGUUUUUUGGAGGGUGAGUGAGUUAUUGUGAUUGUACUGUUGUCUGUCUGCAUGGCAUUAGCACCCAGAAAGGUCAGUGGGAUUGUUGUGCAGUCAUAUCGGUGGUACUGGUAAGCACAAGCCAGGCAGUGGGAUUGUUGUGCAGUCAUAUCGGUGGUACUGGUAAGCACAAG